rnacentral:rRNA from 1 species
AUUACCGAGUUUACAACUCCCAAACCCCUGUGAACAUACCACUUGUUGCCUCGGCGGAUCAGCCCGCUCCCGGUAAAACGGGACGGCCCGCCAGAGGACCCCUAAAACUCUGUUUCUAUAUGUAACUUCUGAGUAAAGCCAUAAAUAAAUCAAAACUUUCAACAACGGAUCUCUUGGUUCUGGCAUCGAUGAAGAACGCAGCAAAAUGCGAUAAGUAAUGUGAAUUGCAGAAUUCAGUGAAUCAUCGAAUCUUUGAACGCACAUUGCGCCCGCCAGUAUUCUGGCGGGCAUGCCUGUUCGAGCGUCAUUUCAACCCUCAAGCACAGCUUGGUGUUGGGACUCGCGUUAAUUCGCGUUCCUCAAAUUGAUUGGCGGUCACGUCGAGCUUCCAUAGCGUAGUAGUAAAACCCUCGUUACUGGUAAUCGUCGCGGCCACGCCGUUAAACCCCAACUUCUGAAUGUUGACCUCGGAUCAGGUAGGAAUACCCGCUGAACUUAAGCAUAUCAA